GUUGGCAGGGUAAUGGCCUACCAAGGCUGCGAUGGUUAGCUGGUCUGAGAGGAUGGCCAGCCACACUGGAACUGAGACACGGUCCAGACUCCUACGGGAGGCAGCAGUGAGGAAUCUUGCGCAAUGGGGGAAACCCUGACGCAGCAACGCCGCGUGAGUGAGGAAGGCCUUCGGGUCGUAAAGCUCUGUCAGAUGGGAAGAAAUGGGUGGGGGCUAAUAUCGCCCAUCCUUGACGGUACCAUCAGAGGAAGCACCGGCUAACUCCGUGCCAGCAGCCGCGGUAAUACGGGGGGUGCGAGCGUUGUUCGGAAUCAUUGGGCGUAAAGCGCGCGCAGGCGGCUUGGUGAGUCAGAUGUGAAAGCCCUGGGCUUAACCCAGGAAGUGCAUUUGAUACUGCCUCGCUAGAGUACGGGAGAGGAAAGUGGAAUUCCUGGUGUAGAGGUGAAAUUCGUAGAUAUCAGGAGGAACACCGGUGGCGAAGGCGACUUUCUGGCCCGAUACUGACGCUCAGGCGCGAAAGCGUGGGGAGCAAACAGGAUUAGAUACCCUGGUAGUCCACGCCGUAAACGAUGUUCACUAGGUGUUGGGGGUAUUGACCCUCUCAGU
rnacentral:rRNA from 1 species